AUUGAACGCUGGCGGCAGGCUUAACGCAUGCAAGUCGAGCGGAGAUGAGGUGCUUGCACCUUAUCUUAGCGGCGGACGGGUGAGUAAUGCUUAGGAAUCUGCCUAUUAGUGGGGGACAACAUUCCGAAAGGAAUGCUAAUACCGCAUACGUCCUACGGGAGAAAGCAGGGGAUCUUCGGACCAUGCGCUAAUAGAUGAGCAUAAGUCGGAUUAGCUAGUUGGUGGGGUAAAGGCCUACCAAGGCGACGAUCUGUAGCGGGUCUGAGAGGAUGAGCCGCCACACUGGGACUGAGACACGGCCCAGACUACUACGGGAGGCAGCAGUGGGGAAUAUUGGACAAUGGGGGGAACCCUGAUCCAGCCAUGCCGCGUGUGUGAAGAAGGCCUUAUGGUUGUAAAGCACUUUAAGCGAGGAGGAGGAUACUGAGACUAAUACUCUUGGAUAGUGGACGUUACUCGCAGAAUAAGCACCGGCUAACUCUGUGCCAGCCGCCGCAGUAAUAC
rnacentral:rRNA from 1 species